rnacentral:misc_RNA from 1 species
AGUAAGUUAUUGCCAGGGUUUUUAUUUUAUACUUUAAACAUUGAUUUUAUUUUUUAUGUUUUUAGAUGUUCAUGUUUUUGAAUGUUUUAUUUAAAUAAUAUAAAAAAUAAAAUAUAUAUUGACAUGGAUUAAACAAAGAUAUAUAUUAUUCUAUGUUGCAUAAGCAAAUUGGCAAAAUAGAGAUGGAAGAUAAAAAUAKGUCAAAGUAAU